GAGAGAGAGAGAGCGAGAGCGAGACGCGGAGCUACCUUGUUUCAAAGGAUCAUUUUUGCAACCCACGACCAUGCAAUUAUCUGGAGCUACGGGGAAAAGUUGCUGGAAAGACCCACCUGAAGUGACGACGUCAUUAUGCAAGUACUACUUGGAAAUGUCUUCAUAAAAGAAUUUCUUCCACAACUAACAUAGACCAUCUAGGACAUUUUGAUAUGGACAGACUCUCACACUGAGAAACUAAUUCAAGCAACUACCUCUUCACUGAAGGAAAAGAGCUAAAAAUAUUUAAGAAUGGAUCCUUUCCUGAGACCUGGAGACAAGAAUUGCUAGCAAAUUGUGGAUUUCAGCUAGAGAGGAGAAUUUGAUCUACAUAAC